UACAGAGGGUGCAAGCGUUGUUCGGAAUUACUGGGCGUAAAGCGAGUGUAGGCGGUCUCAUAAGUCGGGUGUGAAAGCCCUGGGCUCAACCCAGGAAGUGCACUCGAUACUGCCUAGCUAGAGUCCCGGAGAGGUUGGUGGAACUCUCGGUGUAGAGGUGAAAUUCGUAGAUAUCGAGAAGAACACCGGUGGCGAAGGCGGCCAACUGGACGGUGACUGACACUGAGACGCGAAAGCGUGGGGAGCAAACAGGG
rnacentral:rRNA from 1 species